UACGUAGGGACCGAGCGUUGUCCGGAAUCAUUGGGCGUAAAGAGCGUGUAGGCGGCCACUUAAGUCCUGCGUGAAAUCUUGCGGCUCAACCGCAAGCGGUCGUGGGAAACUGGGUGGCUAGAGUGCGGGAGAGGAGAGUGGAAUUCCUGGUGUAGCGGUGGAAUGCGCAGAUAUCAGGAAGAACACCCGUGGCGAAGGCGGCUCUCUGGACCAUAACUGACGCUGAGGCACGAAAGCUAGGGGAGCAAACAGG
rnacentral:rRNA from 1 species